GAAGGUUGGGUAACACCAUAGGGAGGUCAGGGAAGAGGAGGGCAGAAGAGUGACCACAGCGUUUAUUGACAUUGUGAUCUUGGCAGGAACAGGCUCAGGGCAGUGUCAAGGGCCAACCCUAAAUGGCAGGGGAUUAAGAGACCCAGAGGAAAGCACUGGGAGGAAUGAGAAAGUAGCGACUAGACAAAAAUGAAAACUCUUUAAGAAGCAUUGCUGAAGUUACAGGGGAAAAAGAUUAAGACAACUGAGGUUAAGGGCCUGACUCCAGAUCACACAGCAAGGGAGAUGGCAAAAUCAAGAUUUCAACCCAGGAAACCUGCCUCCCAUGCCUAUGUUAAUCACUACACCCUUCCCACAAUAAAUAAUCAAAUAAGCUAUUA
rnacentral:lncRNA from 1 species